rnacentral:misc_RNA from 1 species
CCGAACUGUCAACACGAGCUGUUGCUGGUCCCCAGACCGGGGGCAUGUGCACACUCUGUUUACACAUCCAUCCACACCUGUGCACCCUCUGUAGUUCUAUGGCCUGGGUGACUUUGUCCCCCUUGCUAUGGUUCUAUGUAUUUACACACACACUGCCAUAAAGUCUCGUGGAAUGUUCGUCGCGUUUAACGCAAUACAAUA